UGUAGGUGGCAGUGGAUUACACGACGUACUUCAAAAAUGUUUUCAGCAAAAAGUAAAGAGUGUUUUAGUUUCAGAGGAAGCUUCAGUCAAGUGGAAGAAUCCCCAUUGGCAGCAGGUAACUGAAGCUUUGCUAGUCUUCCAUUCACUGGUUCUAAGUUGCCUUGUACAAAUUACUCAUAUUUUGAGACUCAAUGAUAAGACUCUCAAGCAACUAGUGCCAGGAGUUCAGAAUGAGAUUUCAGGGAUUCUGUGAACCCCAAAAUUAUUCUAUGUAGAAGUAGCCCUGGUUUUUACUGGACAUGUUCUAUGAUUUUCACUAGGUUCACGAAAAGGGCCAAAAGCCCAACAGCCUCCAGGCUUACAUCACUCCUUCCUCCUGGCCGUUAUCUCCGCAGACUUAAGAAACAGCUGAUUUCAGAAUUCAGGCCUAGCUCUGUGGCCCUGGCACAGUUAGUAUCUCUGCCCCUGUUUCAUAUCUAAAAAACGAGGACACCAAAUCUGUUACAUUUAGGGAAGGUUAAAUAGACAAAUAUCCAAAAACCACCAGAGCACCCCAAUGUUAGCAGCUCUGCCCACAUAAGCAGGGUAAUCAGCCAUGGACAGGGCAGCUACGGAGGCUGCCGACAGCAGAGUCGACGCUGCUCUGGAGUCUGGAAGACUAUGGGUCUGCAGACUUCCCGUCACACAAUUAUUUAUUAUUAGCCUUGUGAAGUCCUCCUGCCUCAGCCUCCCACUAACUAACAGUACACAUGGGUGUUUAAUCUGAGAGGCUUUCUCCUGUGUUUUUAGGAUACUAUUCUUUUAUUAUACUGGUCCCUAAACAAUGUUUCUCUUUCCUUUCUUUUGUUUCCCCCCUGGCAGGCCUGAAUUGGAUAUGUAGACCAGGCUGGUCAUGACUCAGACACCAAUACCUGCUCCGGUCUCCUGAGUGCUAGACUGAAGAGCCCACAGCACCAUGUCCCAGUCAUUUUUCCUCUAUUUACUCAUGCGGAUAUGAGCAACUACGAAGAUCUACCUGAGUUCUUGGGAGCAGCAGCGAAAGAGAGUCCAGACUCGUCCAACAGUUUCCCAUGUGCAGAGAGCAGCAAUCACUGCUGAGUUCAUCCAGCACACAGGACUCAAGCGACUCUUCUGAGCAAACAGUCAGCUUUUGUGGAUCACUGUCCACUGCUAAAUCUCCUUUUUAAAGACUUGGGAUUGUUUCAUCGGGGACUACCUAUGCUGGGAUAACUGAGCAAAAAGACAACAGUAAUCCUGAGAGUUUGGAUAUAGUGUGAAGUCUCAGGAAAUAAGCCUGCAGAGAUGUAACCUAUCUUCUGAAGAGGGGACUAAUAACAGAAAGAAAAUUUAAGCUUUAUUUCUGUGCGAGUAUUGCUCCCGCCAACAUGGUGAACGACCUGCUGGAUGUUUUGCAAGAAAUGUGGCAAGCUCUGACCCCACAAAGUGACACAGGACAAAAUGGGCAAGGAUACUUUGUAUGCCCAGGGCUAAAACUCCAAAAAAGGUUGUGCUGAGACUGGAGUGUGUUGAGCCCAACUGCAGAUAAAAAGAAGAUACUGGCUAAGGAGAGAUGCAAGUACUUUGAACUGGGAGGUACUAAGAAAAGAAAGGGCCAAGUGAUCUGAUUCUAAACUGAUUUUGUUAGGAAGAUAAUAAAAUCCUGAGCUUUUACACAAAAAAAAAGAAAGAAAGAAAAGAAAAGAAAAGGAAAAAAAAUUAAGGCCAGGCAAUAGUGGCACACACCUUUAAUCCCAGCACUCAAAGGCAA